rnacentral:lncRNA from 1 species
UGCUUCCUUGUCUCUUUCAAAUGAAGCUAGAGAGGAGAGGCCGGCUGCAUGUAGUGGAAAACCAUGAAAUUUGCUUGCUUAGAAGUUAAAAUUUUCAAGUAGAACGGUAACUCUUCUAAGCUCUCCCUUGCCCACAGCUUUUCGUUGACAAAUUCUGGUUGCAUUGUUGAAUUGAGCUUGACCGAAUGUGUGGGAGAAGAGAAGAGUUUCUUUUCUAGUUGUAAACGUUGCAUGUCUAGUAGAUGAAGAGUUUCUCACUUGUGUUAAAAAAAUUUAGUGAAUGCUUGAGUUGUUAUACACCAUUUUUGUAACUUUGGGGUUCAUUGUAUUUAGCUAACAAGGUGGGAGAAGGCUGUAGCGGAGAAGGGAAGGAGCAAAUUUAAUAGGUAGAAUCGGUGUUGUGAACCUUGGUGAGUUUUCCUUGAACUUUUAUUUUCUUGUGUUUGAUAAUUGUUGGAAUUGUUAAAUUGCUGCCCAAAUUUUACCUUGUUGGUAUUGUUAAUUGCUGCCCUGUUUAUGUUGUCCGAUUGUGGCAUUGAUGCUGUUCGAAUAUUGCGUUGUUAAUGAUGUCUAAAUAUUGUAUUAGUGAUGCUGUCCGAAUCAGCCUCCGAAUCUGAUAUGUUAGAGAAAUUAAGCUAAGUGUUGCGAGUCCUCUUAGGCUGCCCACAACGCAACCUUUCAAUUCUAAUGUUACCAUGAAUUAACCUUCAAUUGAUGGUGUGGUGUAUGAUUUAUGUUAGGCCAGCCCUUUUUUGGUUGCAUUUUUGAGUAAUUACAUAAUAGUUGGUGUGUGAUCAUUGAAUGAAGGAUGUAUCUUCUUGUGAUGGGAAACCCUGAGAUUUUAAAAUUCGAAAGGGAAUGUAGAACCACAUUAAAGAGGAUAAAUGGAGGGAUGUAUUUUAAAGUAAAAUGGCUUUGCGGAGGGAUGUAAUUGGGAGUGUUACAGCUGAUGUGAUUUAAAAAAGAAAAAACCUUUCUAGCAUGCACAUACAAGCACAAAAAAGACUAAUUUUGGAAUGAAUUUUUUUUUUAAAAUUCGACCUUAUGAAGGGGUUAAUUAUUUGAACUAAUUAAUGAUAUUAUAAGAAUACGGGAAUUAUAUUUUUGUUAAACUAAAGUAUAAAUAUUAAGUCUUAAAUUUAAACAUAGUAGUUGGACCAUAAUCAUAAUUUGACCUAAAAUAAUCUAUGUCUAACAUAAAUGUGUUCAUAGGUCAGGUUAGGCUUAAGUAUGAUAUUAAGUAUUAAAACUUUGUGCUUACUAAGCCUGAAUUGACUCGACCCGAAAUAUGAGUCUAUAAUUUUGCUCAAGCUCAUCUAUGUUUAUAAAUGGCAAACCUAAGUCUAUUUUAAGUCGGUUCAUAUUAUUUUAAAAAUUAUAAAAUUAUAAAACUAUAUUUAUAUUAUUUUAAUUUAAUAUUUAAUAAAUUUAUAUAUUUUUAUUAAUUAAAUAUUUUAUAUAAUUAUCUUUAAUAUUUUUUAAAGUGUACAUUAUAGCAAUAUUAUAUAUUAUUAUAAAUUUAUAUUUUAUGUGUUAUAAAUUAUAUAAUAUAUAAAAAUAACAUAAUAUAAAAUAUUAUAAACUUAAAAAAUAAUCCGGACUUGGACCUUGAAUAUUCAAACUCGAGCCUAACCCAUAUUUUUAAACAAAGCCUAACCCAUAUUUUAAACAUACAUUAUUUCCCAAAUCUAUUUCUCGGGCAUAAUAUUUUGUCCAAGCCCUCUCAAAAUUUGGGUAAACCUUGAAGCAUAGGCAAGUAGCUAGACCCAUGAGCAUGUCUAAUCUAAUACAAUUAUUUAUCAUUUGAUUUAAUAAAAAAAUGAUAUGUUUUAGAAAAAUUCAACAGUGUUAACCAUUAAAUUGUAAUUUUAAAUACGGAAAAUAAAGAUGCUACAUUUUAAAAAUAAAAGGUAUAGACUAAAUUUCAAAUGUAUUAAGAAUAUAUGGAUUUAAAACAUUUUUAAUGAAUAAUGUCAUCCAAAAUUAUCCUAUCCUCCAUCGUUAGGUAUCAAUUAUAAAAAGAAAGAAAGAAAAGAGCUGGAGAAGUAGGCCCAUUAAUCGAAAGAGAGUUCACUCGUACACAUGAUUAAGGUUUGAUCCACAAAUUCGUUUGUGUGAUAAUGUAGUGUAUACGUGUAAGUUUAAAACUAUAUUGCAUAAAAAACUAAUCCAGAAUUAAGUUAAAAAGUAGUAACAAUGCUAACUUAAGAGAGAUAAUCUAGUACUAGUUUAAAAAAAACAAAAAAAAACCCAUAAGAUAUGGGCAAUCAAUUAAAAGCUACAUGAUUUUAUUACAUUUUUUCUCUAAUGGUUCAAAGGACUCAAACUUAGAUGUUAAAUAAAUAAAAGAGAACGAAAGAAUUUUAUCAAACAUCUAAGAAUAAAAAUAUUAAUAAAAUAAAUAUUACUUAAAUACAUAUUGAAAAAAAAGGGAAAAAAAAAUCAGAGAAUAAUGUCGCUGCCAGAUUUCCAUCUUUCUUCACCCAACCUUCUUAAAACUGUCACCAGCUCCUCCAAUUGUACCUAUUUGGCAAGUAAAUAAAUUAAUAUAUAAAUGGUCUCCAUCAUAUCAUUUAAAAGAAAGACAAUUUGUAUUGAGAAAAAAAUUUAAUUUCAUAAACGAAAUUAACAAGACAACAUGUACUCUUUCAGAUAUGUUUAAAGAAAUUUAUGCCAAUUUUAAUAUUUAUACAAUUAAAAAAUUAGGGACAGAUAAUAUUUAUAAACAUUAAGACAAAUUUAACAACAAUUUGGUUCAAAAAAAUUAAACCCCAACACCCUAGCACAUGGGUUCCCUCAAAGAGCCAGUUGGGCUGUGGGGUUUUCUCACAUGACACAAUGAUUUAUUUCCAUAAGGCCUCACACUUAAUUUAGAAAAUAAUUAAAAUGAAAAGGUGAAGGUAACCCAUGUUACCAUGUGAGUCACCAUCAUGGAGGAUCAAUGGGUGUUACCUGAACUAGGAGCAAUUGCUGAUGGGCCAUGCUGUUGGUGAUGGGAAGGUGAGAGCCGCUGAUGCUGGUGAUGAUGGAAAUCCCAAUGUUUGUGAUUGAUGGUAGUGAUAAAAAGGGUACACUGGCAUCAAUGUGUUGGCACCUACAAUAGUUUGCCCUGCUGGAUAUACUUGAGACAAAUGCCCAUUCAUGUAGGAUCCUCCAUUGUAGCUUAGCUUCUGUUUGCACCAAUCAUACACCACAUUUUAUUAAGACUGUGUAAAAAAAAAUGGCAAAUUUAUGUUAUGGUACAAAUAUCAAUUAUGUUUUUUUUUUAAAAAAAAGCUACUUAUUUUGGAAGGAUUAUAUUUUUUAUACCUUUAUUGGUCGACUUAAUUCUGUGGAUAUUAUAAGAAAUAAUAAUAAUACACUAAGAAGUAGUGAUAGAUGGUGAGAAUUAGACAUGUUAACAUGUUAUACUAUUUGAAUAAAUGACUCGUAUUAGAUCCAAUUUAAUUAAAUUUUAAAAUUUUGAUGGAUGUUGAUAAAAAAUUGAUAUGAUGUGAUUUGCAUUACGAUUUGGUUAAUAAAAAUAUAUUUUUAUAUUUAAAUCUAACAAUAUAUAAAUAUCAAUAUGAAAAUUAUUUUUUCUAUUUUUAUAUAUUUCAGAAGGUAUUUAUUUGAUAUAUCAUUUAUGAAGGUAAUUUUCCAAUUUCAAUAUAUAUAUGAGCACUUACAUGGUUGUAGCUGAUGUUUGUGGCAACGUAGGCAGGAGAGUACCUGAAAAGCGUUAAAAAAGGGAAAAUAAAAGGUAAGGAAAAAUCCACCUUUCUUAGCGGCUUCAAUAAAGUCAAUGUAUCAAUAGCAUACCCGUAAAAAGGAACCGCCUGAUGGUGAAACGGCGGUGCUGAUGCCC